AGGAUGUGGGGGGUUGGACAGGUUGUUGCAUAACUGAGAGCAAUUCAGCACAUGAUCUAUGGACCAGAAAAGAGAAGCUCUGCUCCAGCCAGCGAUAGGUUAAACAUCUGACACAUUCAUCACAAGCCUUGCCUGGACCAUCCUUCAUAUGACAGUUCCAGCAGCAGAAGAUGAUCGUGCAGGGGAGAAAGAAGAGGCAAUCGAGACAACCUAGACCUUACCUGUUGCAGGGUUUGGUUGCCCAAAAUCGACUUGGCUUCACCAAAACUCCUCUUCUCUAGAAGUCUGGCUGGAGGCGUCCCACUGGCAGUAGGUUGCUCAACCUAAUCGAGGGUGAGUUCCAUGUGUCAGUUUGUGGAUCACAGUCUCACACACAAAUCCCUACAGAUUCCUGUAGGAGGUCCAAAUUAUAUCUAUUUUAUUUUUCAUCUGGGGUUCAUUCAUCAUUUGAUUUGACCUUGGAAGUUGAUUUUCUUCUUAUUUAUUUACAAGCCUAAAUGCUUAUUGUGAAAAACGAUUCGCAGGAGAGUAUCAUGAUAUUAAGUCAAAUAAUGAAGCUAAGUAGGUGAUCGACUGGAUAACUUAAGAUGGCAGGAUUGUUGAAUGCUUCUGCUAAUUUGGUGGCAGAUACUUAAAAUUGUUACCUUCAAUGGAAGGGAAAAUGUUAUUGAAAAGACUGAAAAUACCUCAACAGUUAUUGUGAUGAGAAGAAUGGAGAGAUGUUUCAUUGUUUGUUUCAAGGUUACCUCAGAUCCUACUAGACCAAAAGAUUUGGAAGUUUUUUCUUUACUGAAGAGGGAAGAAAAGGGAUAUUCAUGAAAAAUGGCACUUUUACUAGCAGUUUCAUAUUCCAGCGCCUUAUUAUUACAUUGCCACAUGUCAGACGUUGUCAUAUGGUCGUUACUAGUUGCCAAAAUGAAGUCAAAAUUGUUCUUGAGGUUAAAGCUUCUGAAUUCUUUGAAAAUAUUGCGAGCAUGCUUUUCUUUUUUGUGGCGAAUCUCUUGGUGACUUUCUGUUUGGGUGGAUCUAUAUGUGUUAUUUUACAGACUCUUUGCUGUUAUACAAUGGUUUUGCUUAUUUAUCUAUAUGAACUAGGAUAAAUAGAUGCCUUGGAGAUGGGAGCACCGCUGCAAUAUCAGAGCUUUCUUCUAUCGUCAUAGAGUUAGCAGAAUCAAAAUGAGCAAUGUCAGUUUUUUCAUCUCUGUCUUGCGUGCACAGGUAAUGCUUACUAAAUAUUCUGAUGAUAACAAUUUUCGAGUGUGUCAUUGCAGAACGACACGGUGAUUACAUCAUAUAGUCAGCAUUUUACCUCCGAGAGGUGACAACUACAUUAUUGUCGCGGCAAAUGCAUCAACUUGCUUCAGCAAAUAAGAUUUAUAAGACAAACUUCUUCUGUGGUGUAUCCUGCAUGUAUCCAGAAGAUCUUGGAUUUGAAUAACGCAAUAACUAUGUUGUCUCCCUGGCUGAAUAGGUUUUCAGGCAGGAGCAUGAAUUGUUGCUUCAGUCGGAGAUUCAAGUUGCCAGGGCCAAGAAGAUAACAAGAGCAAAUGUCAAGUGUUGGCAGUGAUUCCAAUUGACUUGCAUAAGAGCGUUAGUUGAAACAUCAAACAAAAAGAAACGCAUCUAGUUCAGCAAAAUUGAGGCUUCAGGUACUUCCAUUACUUUAAAAAAAAAAUUGGUAUUGCCAUAUUUUCUGUUUAUUAUAACUUAUUGUAGAGAUUGAGUCUGUAUAUGAUAUAACAAAAGAAAAAAAGAGCAGGGCUAUUCACCACAUCACAUGGCAGUGUCUUGUGGCCGUUUGUUGGCUAAAGUCAGUUUAGUAAGAGAGCAUUUCUGUGAUGAAAGCAUACCGUGGGUAAGACGCAUUUGAUAUGUGUAAUCAAUGGGCAAGGGCAUUCAUCACAGACGAAAGCACCCAGUUUCAGGUCUGUUUCUCUUAAAGGUUACAAUAGUACUCACUGGCAUCGUCUUCAAUUAACGUAGCAUUGAGUGUGAGUUGAUGGAGGUGAUGGCGAUCUUUAUUGUUGGUGUAAACCGUGGAAGGCAAUCAUGGUUGACAUAAAGAUUGCACUACACAAAAACGUGAAAGCCGAAUGUGCAAAAUUUACCAGACACUGCAUAGGAAGCAUGGGUCGGCAGAUCCAAUAUAAGAAAGAGUAUAUGCUCAAGAAGCUGAUGUUUCAAAAUGGGCCUUUCAAAAGUGCAUGGAAUGUUGAAGUCGAAGUCGCAUUCUGCAUACUGAAAGACGGUGUCAACGCUCUUCAGGACAUGCGUCGGUGAGCCUUCCUUCCUGAUACGGGAAGAAGUGGAUGUGCCAGGGUGAACUGGGUGUUGCAUAACUGAGGGCAAUUCAGCACAUGAUUUACGGAGCAGAAAAGAGCAGCUCUGCUCCAGGCAGGCAUGGGCUAAGCAACAUCCUUCGUUUGACCAAGCUCCAGCGGCAGUGGAUGAUAGUGGAUUGGAGAUAGAAGAGGCAAUCCAGACAAGCAUAGACCCCACCUAGUAUGCUGCUCUAUUCUCAGCUUUACGGCCAGAUUCUGGUUUCAAGCUUCACGGGGAAGGACACCAGUAGAUGCUGAUGGGCGAAAUGGUUAAAAAAAAAAAAAAAAAGAGCCUUUCUCGCCCCCCGGAUCUUGUGAACAUAGAGUUAUAGCCACGCGGUCCACAUCAAGGCUGAAAUUGCAUUCGCUGCAGGGGGAAACCAGAUGACAUGCAAGAAAAAGGGUUGAUUAUGGAGAGAGGGGCAUCACUUCUCUGGGGUAGAUUGGGUGCAGCUCUCGUGAACUAAGAAUAUGCGCCGUGUAGCAUCCAUGGACCUCCUCGCAGGCUUGGCAUUUGAUUCUACUUUUCGUCCCAAAAUGGAGGGACGUGAGCAGACGCUAAUGAGCAAAUUGCAGGAUGGAUUCUCAGAAUCCUCAUCAGGCUUAGUUGUGACUAGGCAGACGAAGCAAUGUCCGACCGUGCACUGACACUCAACCGUCCGAAUGGCAAGAAGGAAGCCUGCUCACACGCAUGGCAACUCCGAUGAUCCUCCUCAUCGUUGGCAGCUAGGCAGUCAAGUCGGGGCAGCGGGUGAGACUGGUGUCCUAGUGUGGACAGCAUGCUAAAUUCGGCAUGACUCAUAAAAGAAGAAACGACACGAUUCACAGUGGUGAGCUGAGCUGCGCAUUGGAGAUCAGCACGCAUGACAUUCCAAGCAAGUACAGGCUUCUUCGCUCAGGUUUCGGAGAUAUCAAUACAUGAUCACCUAGGCAAAUUAGGAAAUAAAAAUGAGUUUUGUAUGGAGUUAUAGUUGUUGAGUGUUAUCAACACGAAGUAUAUGUGGUGAAAUUAAUUUUACCCCACUCCCGCAUCAUUUGAUGUUGUGUUUCA